UUUUUCUCAAAAAAACCCUGCACCCAACACAUAAUAGCCCUUACCGUUCCCAUUUCUCGCUCUAAUGGCAGUUUCAAGUUCAAAACCAUCGACAGCUUCCUCCUUCUUACCAAUUUGCUUCCUAUGAUCUAAAGUUCUUUCAAGCGAAACAGUUACAUUAUACCCAUGCAAAUUCCUAAAAUAAUUGGGUAAGGCCCGUUUGCAAUCGGGGCUUGUAAACACCCUGUUAAGGAACGGGUUCUUGUAUGAUACCUUUUCGAUACUAAGGUCAGAUUCUUUAAUAGAUACCAACAAUAUAUUCACUGUUCUAUUGUGGGUUUUAUGAUAAAAAUAAUCAAAAAUCAACAGGUCUGUGGUGCCGCUAUAGAAUAUGACCAAAACCUGACGAAACAUCCAAAAUUUGCUGGCAAUUAAAGUGUUUAAAAUGACCUUCGGCUUUAAUUCCACGGCCUGAACAAAGUAAAUAUUUCUAGAAGUUGUUUCUCCUCUAUUACAAGGUUUCCAAGUUGGCCCCAAGUUAUCAUCAAUUGAAUAUGAUGGAAUUUUCAGUUUGUUCAGUAUGGAGCUUAUGGGGUAAGCUUCUGGUUGAGCCCCGUACUUUAAAAUUAUUGCAGACCAGAACAAAUGGUCGUUUCUGAUGUCUUGAAUGCAGCUUUCUAAGCCGUUAUUAGAGGCCCCGAGAGCUGGUAAAAGCAAGAAUAUAAGAAACAUGAUCGAGAGGUUUAAUCGCACUGAAGUGUAAGUUAUAUAGAGGGCCCUUACAGUUUGUUUAGUGCUAAUGGAUCCAUCUGAUAAGUAAAUAAAGUAUGAAAAGCAUUAUUUAUUUGGAUAGUUUCAUAUUUAUGUGGUUUGAGUGUAUUUAUAUAGGGAAAAUUUGUUUAAGCAACCAUCUGGGUGUAGUUAGGUAUGUAUUACAAAUAAUUGUAAUUUUAAGUAUUGCAGGGUUGCCAAACUUCUUAAAAUCUUAGGUCUUCUUUAAAUUUAUGACGUUUGCAAGGGCAAAAGUUACCUAUGACUGACCGGUUUUUAGGUUAUGUUUUAAAAGCUGUUACAUUCUAAAGAAUUUCAAUCAUAGAGUAAUUAAAAGUGUAUUUAAUAUUCAUUUCUCUAUGAUUUCAAUUAAAAAAAAAACUAUUUUUUCUGUGGUGUUAUUAUGCAUAGGCCAUAGUUUAAGAAUGCCUAAGGUGUACGGCGUUUCUAGGUUAUGUUGUAGAAAUUGCUCAGUAUGUAUGUUCUGUGGUUACUGGUGCAUGGGAUAAUAAAGUGCCUUUAAAUCGUCAAGUAGUGAAGCCUCCCUAGAAAAAGAAAUUUAAACGGGAUAUGUGCGAAAAAUCACGUAGAAGCAGUGGGAAUGACUGACAGCCAUCCAAAGAAAACCGAGCAAAAUCACCCUAAAAAUUAAAUUAAAAAAAUUAUUUUGAACCACUGGAAGUCGUGAAAUGUAACCCUAAAAACCCCGGAAUAAAAUGAGACCUUAGUCCGAAUGCCUGGAAUAAUAAAAAGUUUUAUUCGAUAAAUCUGAAACAUCUAAAAACUUACCUGAAAUUAAAGGAACAGUUAUUCCAAAUGCCUGGAAUAGUAAAAAGUUUUUUUUGUAAAACCUGGAAAUUUGAAAUUUAGGCAUACAAGAUUUGGUCAAAUAUCUACCUAAAAUGAAUUCAAUUUCCUACAGAAUUACGUCAAAUGUCUAGAAUACAUACAAAAAUUCAGAUAAAUGUGCUGUGAUAAAUAUUUCCUUCUCCUUAGUUUAAGUAGCUUCAGAACUGACAAGGAUAGAGAAUUGUCAUAUUUUGGAGGCAUUUGAAGUGCAGCAGUUAUACGUGGUUUCCAAAUGAGUGAUCCUCUCCUUAUUGGGUUAAAACCGGUAAAUUUAUCAACAAACUGUUUUAAAACUGGACUACAGGUUGAUAAAAUAUUUAUAUUCUAAUAUUGAUUCCACUCACUCUAAAAUAAGGAUUUUGUACCUUCCAAGCAACUCAUCUCAAUAGGGAUUUUAAGGGCUUUGAAAUAGAAAGAACAUGUUUAUCCCGUAAAAAUUGUAACACGUUUAUUGCAGCAGUAAGUUUAAAACUUCCUUGCGACACAACCGUUUGGAUCUCAAUAAGACUUUUCAUUGUAAAUUAUGCAAAACUUAAAUGGAUAUGAAUCGACUUUUAUUGAGAGGGUCAUAAAACCAACAUUCCCGUGCAAUGAGGUCAAGAUUGGUCUCGUAAUUAAACUCAUUCCUUUUGUAUAUAGACAUUACUUUUAUUGUUUCUUAGGAAUGAUAUUAUGUACAAUAUAAAAUAUGCCAUUAUUUACAUAUAAAAUGGAUGUAUAUAAUAAUAAUAAUAUGAUUGCCUAUUUACAUUUUUAGUUACUUAGUAAAUAUAAAAAUUUGUUUUUUAUGGCAAUAGCCUAAAAUAAUACUAAAAAAUAUAAUUAAUUAUGAGCACAAUUUAUGCUAGACGAUAUAAUAAAAGAUUAAGUAGACGAUAGCCUGACAGACGAAUAAAGUAAAAUUUGGACAAAAUUACACACGAGCAGCUCAAAAUAUCACAUAAAUGUAUUAUUGUAGUUGAAUGGGUGAUUGGACGAAGGAUAACAUCCACAUUUACGCCUACCGUCCUUUUAAAAGGAUUUCAAAAAGAAACCUGUAUUUUUCUGAUUAGGAUUUUGUUAAUUUUUGAAUCGAUAGUGACGAAUAAAACACGCUGUGUUUCUAGUGAUUUUGCAAUGAGUGACUCAAGGUGAGAUAUGUUAAAACUCUUUUCGUUCUUGUUUUGAUUGUUUUUAACAAAUAACAUAACAUACUCACCUUUUUAUAUAUUUGUGGUUUAUGUUUCACACUUCUUGAUCAAUCCAGGAGCGUUCAAUUAAACGAGUCCUUUUAAAAGGACGGUAGGAUUAUAUACUACACUAACCAUGGCAGAAAUCUUAGAGGAAUUGGAGAAUGACUCUACGUCGGACAUUCCUACAGGCAUUACAAUUUUUCCACCCGAAAACUGCGAUACCGAUGAAGAUUCUGGGGGCUGAAGACGAUGUAGUACCAAAUAAUUUACCCGGAGUGCAACUAAGGGCCCCGGCGGAAAUUGCAUUUUAACGUAGAAGGUGAAGACGACUGGGACAGUGAUGACGAUCUAUCACUGUCCACUUUUGUUGAAAGGCGACCUAAACACAUAAAGACAUUUGACUAUACUCUCAAUAAAGAUUUACGGAAAGAGUCUACGUUUAUGCAAUGGCAAUCAGUUCAAACUGCACAAAGCAAUCGUUCCCCUGGAAAUAAUUUCAAGCUGUUCUUUGACGAGAACUUGCUAGGAGAAAUUAUCAAUUUUACCAAUAUUUAUGCACAGCAAACCUUACUGCAGACGAGAUGUACUGCUUCAUAGGGGUGUUACUUGUCAGUGGAUAUACAACUGUUCCAAGGCGACAUAUGUAUUGGCAAAGUUGCAACGAUACCCAGAAUAAACUUAUAUUAGCCGCUAUUUCCAGAGAUAGAUUUCAAUUCAUAACGAGUAAUCUUCAUUGCAGUGAUAAUAAAAAAGACAAGUACUCUAAACUGCGUCCCCUUUUCAGGAGCCUAAAUAAAAAAAUUUUGAUUAUGCUCCAAAAUCACAGCCUCGAUGAGGCCAUGAUACCGUAGGUAUCAUGGUCAUAUCAUUUGGCCAUAUACCGUAGGCUCAUUUGGGGUAGGUACCCUACGCCUUGGAUACAUUGUUUAUUUUGAUCCCAACCAAGGUGCGUCGACAACAAUUGCGGACAAAUAUAAACACCUGAGUUUGGGAGCGUCAGUUAUUCUCCAGUAUGCAGAUGUUUUACAGAAAAUGCCUUAUCAGCCCUUUCACAUAUUUUUUGUCAAUUUUUUCACAUCUUUGUCUAAAAUUGAGGAACAUCAAGGCAACUGAUACUAUACGUGAAAACCGGAUCCCACAAUCUCCAUUUAGCGAUGCGGCAGUGAACAACUAAUGUGACAACGCAGCAUCCUGCGUUUGGGUUUAAAAAUAGAUUCCGCCCUGUUUUUCUUCUCGGCCACCGAUUGUGGUCUUAUGUUUUUUAGGUUUAAUUGUCACCGUAGUCGUAAUAGUAGUUUUUUAAGAAGAAGUAGUAUACGUUUUGCUCUCCUUAUACGCACACGUCACGUUGUUUACAAUUAGACAAUUAGUUAGUAGCUCGCAGUGUUUGUUACCCCAUAGUUUAGUAAUUAUGUUUCUCACGCAUUAAUGAGACAAUAUUGUUUAGUUUACAGUUUUACACAGUAAAAAUUUCUCUCGCCAUAAAAUAAAUUUCGCAGCUAUAUGCUUUUGUGUAGAUAUAGUUGUUGUCUUAGUGGACAGUGUUUUUUGACGUCACUCAUUUACAUUCCCAGUGGUUCUUCUUCUUUGACUCUGACUCUUGAAAACUUAGAUUGGUUAGCAUGUACUGAUUGGGAUAACCUAUCUAACUUACAGUGAAAUACAGUGUUGAAUUGGGGUCAAUAAAGUUAUUGAUCCAUUGUAAGUGCAUGCAGAACUUUACAAGGGUUCUAACGACGGUCAAAUUUUAAAUAAAUUGUUUUGUUCUGAAUCAUUUUAUUUUAUUAAUUACCAAAGGCUAAUUACAAAUGAGCAAGAUUGAGCUAAGACCCAAACCACGCCAACUUUAGCCACCAAUGCAUGUUCAGUUUUGCCAGUAAAUAAGGUCAAACGAUAUUCACAGUCUGAAAAAAAACAUGUUUAUAUAGAUCAGCCUCAAUUGAUCACGAAAAUAUGGGAGGUGUAGACCGUAGUGACCAAAACAUAAGCCAAUAUCGAGUUUCAGUACGAGGUAAAAAGUGGUAUUUUCCCACUGUGUAGACAUGGCCUCACAAAACUCGUGGCAACUCCACAGGAAUAAUGGUGGUACUCUUGACCAACUUCAGUUUAGAAGGGACCUAGGGACACAGCUGCUCGAAACGUACAGGAAAACAACUAAGAGAGGACCUUCGAAAUUGCCAAAAACUGCAUUCCAAUUCUCACGUUACGAUAGACUAGAUCAUUUAGUUACAUAUCACGAGUAGAGUCAGCGGAAAUGUGCUGUGUGCCACAAAAAAGUAAAUUUUGUGUGCCAAAAAUGUGCAGUUGGUCUUCACCCAAAAAACUGUUUUGUGGACUAUCAUACAAAUUGGUUUUUAAGUAUUUUGCUAAGCAUUUUGUACGAUAUAUAUACAUAUUUUUAAGUCUUUACUUAUUUUUCUAAUAGUAGCCCUUUAUCAUACCGUCCUUUUAAAAGGACCGCCGUUUUUUCUAAAACUGGAAAAACAUGAUUUUUUCUCGACUUAUGGGACCUUCUAUUGACCGUUUU